UAGGGAAUUUUCGGCAAUGGGCGAAAGCCUGACCGAGCAACGCCGCGUGAGGGAGGAAGUCCUUCGGGAUGUAAACCUCUGUUAUAAAGGAAGAACGGCAUAUGGAGGGAAUGGCAUAUGAGUGACGGUACUUUAUGAGGAAGCCACGGCUAACUACGUGCCAGCAGCCGCGGUAAUACGUAGGUGGCGAGCGUUAUCCGGAAUCAUUGGGCGUAAAGAGGGAGCAGGCGGUCUGAGAGGUCUGUGGUGAAAGCCCGAAGCUAAACUUCGGUAAGCCAUGGAAACCGGCGGACUAGAGUGCGGCAGAGGAACGUGGAAUUCCAUGUGUAGCGGUGAAAUGCGUAGAUAUAUGGAGGAAAACACCAGUGGCGAAGGCGACGUUCUGGGCCGCAACUGACGCACAGUCCCGAAAGCGUGGGGGAGCAAAUAGGAUUAGAUACC
rnacentral:rRNA from 1 species